rnacentral:lncRNA from 1 species
AUAAUGAGAGGUCAGGUGUGUUGCUGAGAAAAAUGCCAAGCUUAAAAGUGCCUCUAAGAUAUCUCAGGGUAUGCAAAGCUACAUGCAUAUGAGAGGAGGUAGGCUUCUGAAGAUAUUGACUCAUAUGCAAGAUAUCUCAGGGUAUGCAAAGCUGCAUGCAUAUGAGAGGAGGUAGGUUUCUUAAGAUAUUGACUUAAAUGCUGGACAGCAAAGGCCAAGUCAGGUCUAGUGUGGGUGAGAAAAUUGAGUUUCUCCACUAAGCACCUAUAGGAUUCAGGAGAGGGAAGAGGAUCCCCCAAAUCCAGUUUGAGUUUAACAGAGAGGUCAAGAGGGCAAGUAACAGGAGAAACAUCCUCACAGUGAUAGGCUUUGAGCAGGUCAAUGAUAAACUUCUUCUGGUAGAGAAGAAGCCCAUCAGAGUGAUAACUGACCUCAAUUCCAAGAAAAUAGUUGAGGACCCCCAAGUCCUUGAUUUUAAAAUCAUGAUCCAGAAAGCUUUU